UACAGAGAGUGCGAGCGUUAAUCGGAAUUACUGGGCGUAAAGCGCACGUAGGUGGAUGUUUAAGUUGGAUGUGAAAUCCCUGGGCUUAACCUAGGAAUUGCAUUCAAUACUGGGCGUCUAGAGUAUAGUAGAGGGAAGUGGAAUUUCUGGUGUAGCGGUGAAAUGCGUAGAUAUCAGAAGGAACAUCAGUGGCGAAGGCGGCUUCCUGGACUAAUACUGACACUUAGGUGCGAAAGCGUGGGGAGCAAACAGG
rnacentral:rRNA from 1 species